UACGAAGGGUGCAAGCGUUACUCGGAAUUAUUGGGCGUAAAGCGUGCGUAGGUGGUUUGUUAAGUCUGAUGUGAAAGCCCUGGGCUCAACCCGGAAACUGCAUUGCGAACUGACCUAGCUGGAGUGCAGGAGAGGGCAGCGGAAUUCCCGGUGUAGCGGUGAAAUGCGUAGAUAUCGGGAAGAACACCAGUGGCGAAGGCGGCUGCCUGGCCUGUAACUGACGCUGAGACGCGAAAGCGUGGGGAGCGAACCGG
rnacentral:rRNA from 1 species